rnacentral:rRNA from 1 species
AGAGUUUGAUCCUGGCUCAGGAUGAACGCUGGCGGCGUGCUUAACACAUGCAAGUCGAACGAAGCUGUUGUUUGGAGACCUUCGGGUGGAAGAAUAACAGACUGAGUGGCGGACGGGUGAGUAACGCGUGGGUAACCUACCUUGCACAGGGGGACAACAGUUGGAAACGACUGCUAAUACCGCAUAAGACCACAGUACCGCAUGGUACAGGGGUAAAACUGAGGUGGUGCAAGAUGGACCCGCGUCUGAUUAGCUAGUUGGUGGGGUAAAGGCCUACCAAGGCGACGAUCAGUAGCCGACCUGAGAGGGUGAUCGGCCACAGUUGGGACUGAGACACGGCCCAAACUCCGUACGGGAGGCAGCAGGUGGGGAAUAUUGGACAAUGGGGGGAACCCUGAUCCAGCGACGCCGCGUGAGUGAAGAAGUAUUUCGGUAUGUAAAGCUCUAUCAGCAGGGAAGAAAAUGACGGUACCUGACUAAGGAGCCCCGGCUAACUACGUG